CUAGUUGGUUGAUGCUGUGGGACUUCAUUGAUACAAGAGCCUUUUUCGCUUUUCUCAAAUUAGAGCACUGGCGGGAAGUACGGCUGCAUACAGAUGAAAACAUUUUGUAGAAAGGAUUGCACAUUACUGCAUUUGAAGUUGGAUUGACUGCUCGUCUAUUGAGCGUUUGCCCGCUCGUCUGUUGAAUUAGUAAUAAUUUUGUCGGAAGAAUCACGUCAAGAUAUCAUUGGAUUGACUUACAAGUUAAUCCUAUUUUUCUUUUUUGAUUCAAGAUUACUUUUGUUGUGCAAAUAUGUUCAAGAUCUGAAUUUUGAG
rnacentral:lncRNA from 1 species